rnacentral:rRNA from 1 species
UACGUAGGGUGCAAGCGUUAAUCGGAAUUACUGGGCGUAAAGCGUACGCAGGCGGCUAUGUAAGACAGGUGUGAAAUCCCCGGGCUUAACCUGGGAACUGCAUUUGUGACUGCAUAGCUAGAGUCUGUCAGAGGGGGGUGGAAUUCCACGUGUAGCAGUGAAAUGCGUAGAGAUGUGGAGGAACACCGAUGGCGAAGGCAGCCCCCUGGGAUAAAGACCGACGCUCAUGUACGAAAGCGUGGG